rnacentral:rRNA from 1 species
UACGUAGGGGGCAAGCGUUGUCCGGAAUUAUUGGGCGUAAAGAGCGUGUAGGCGGCCAGAUAAGUCCGCUGUGAAAUCUCGAGGCUCAACUUCGAGCUGUCGGUGGAAACUAUCUGGCUAGAGUCCGGAAGAGGAGAAUGGAAUUCCUGGUGUAGCGGUGAAAUGACGCAGAUAUCAGGAAGAACACCCGUGGCGAAGGCGGUUCUCUGGGACGGUACUGACGCUGAGACGCGAAAGCGUGGGGAGCGAACAGG